UUGGAGGGCAAGUCUGGUGCCAGCACCCGCGGUAAUUCCGGCUCUAGUAGCGUAUAUUAAAGUUGUUGCAGUUAAAAAGCUCGUAGUCUGACUUCGGGCUGGGCUGUGAAGGCUCACCGCAAGGUGGGACGGAUAGCCUGGCCUUACCCUCUGAUGUGCUCUCUGCUCUUAACUGAGUGGAUCUGUCGCACAGAGGCGUUUACCUUGAGCAAAUUGAGGUGUUCAAGGCAGGCAUAAUCGCUCGUACACGUUAGCAUGGGAUAAUGAAAUAGGGCCUUGGGUUCGCUGUUGCCGGUUGGUGAGCCCGGGCAAUGAUCAACAGGGGCGGUCGGGGUGCUUCAUAUGCAGGCGCUAGAGGUGAAAUUCUUGGACCGUCUGCAGAUGCCCAGAUGCGAAAGCGUUGCACCAGUACGUCCCCAUUGAUCAAGAACGAAAGUUAAGGGAGCGAAGACGAUCAGAUACCGUCGUAGUCUUAACCCUAAACGAUACCGACCGGGGAUCGAGGAUAGUCCCAUGGUUGACUCCUUCGGCGCCUUACGGGAAAC
rnacentral:rRNA from 1 species